rnacentral:rRNA from 1 species
GCACAAGCGGUGGAGCAUGUGGUUAAUUCGAUGCAACGCGAAAACCUUACCCACCUUUGACAUGUACGGAACCCUUUAGAGAUAGAGGGGUGCUCGAAAGAGAGCCGUAACACAGGUGCUGCAUGGCUGUCGUCAGCUCGUGUCGUGAGAUGUUGGGUUAAGUCCCGCAACGAGCGCAACCCUUGUCAUUAGUUGCUACAUUCAGUUGGGCACUCUAAUGAGACUGCCGGUGACAAGCCGGAGGAAGGUGGGGAUGACGUCAAGUCCUCAUGGCCCUUAUAGGUGGGGCUACACACGUCAUACAAUGGCUGGUACAAAGGGUUGCCAACCCGCGAGGGGGAGCCAAUCCCAUAAAGCCAGUCGUAGUCCGGAUCGUAGUCUGCAACUCGACUACGUGAAGUCGGAAUCGCUAGUAAUCGUGGAUCAGAAUGUCACGGUGAAUACGUUCCCGGGUCUU